rnacentral:rRNA from 1 species
GGGCCCGCACAAGCGGUGGAGUAUGUGGUUUAAUUCGAUGCAACGCGAAGAACCUUACCAGGGUUUGACAUCCUGCGAAUCUCUUGGAAACUUGAGAGUGCCUUCGGGAGCGCAGUGACAGGUGGUGCAUGGCUGUCGUCAGCUCGUGUCGUGAGAUGUUGGGUUAAGUCCCGCAACGAGCGCAACCCACGUCUUUAGUUGCCAGCAUUUAGUUGGGCACUCUAGAGAGACCGCCGGUGAUAAACCGGAGGAAGGUGUGGAUGACGUCAAGUCAUCAUGCCCCUUACAUCCUGGGCUACACACGUACUACAAUGGUAUCUACAACAGGAAGCAAGACGGCGACGUUUAGCAAAUCCUUAAAAGAUACCUCAGUUCGGAUUGCACUCUGCAACUCGAGUGCAUGAAGCUGGAAUUACUAGUAAUCG